GGGACGCAACUACUCCAAGACGA
rnacentral:piRNA from 1 species